rnacentral:rRNA from 1 species
AUGCAGGUCAAACGGCUUCCUCUGGAGCUCUCCAGCACCGGCCUCGGCUUCGACCCGGCGACCGGCCAGCACAAGGUGGUCAGGCUCUUCAGGAACAUCUUCGGGCAGCAGAAGUGCGAGGUGUGCUCGCUUACGGCGUCCGGCGAGUGGCGCUGGCGGCGCUGCGCCGGCGGUGACGCGCCGCCAAGGUUCGCGUGCUACGUCGACGGCAGGCCUCCCGUGGCCCUCGACGGAUCCCUCUACUGGCUGCUGCACCGGCGAACCUGCGCCGACGACGGCAGCGCCAGCUGGGACCCGCAGCAGGACGCGCCCAUCCUGUCGCUCUCCGUCGGCGCCGAGCGGUUCGGGUGGGUGCGCACGCCGCCGCGGCUGGCGUCACGCAUCCGGCACCUCACCAACCUCGACGGCGCCCUCUGCGCCGUCGUGCACGACCGCCUCGUCGACGACGUGCUCCUGCUCGUCACGUGGAGUCCGUCGUCGCCAUCGUGGUCUGCGCGCUGCCGCGUCGACGUGGGCAGCCUGCCCCGGCCGAUCCGCGACGAGCUCAGCGGGGAGCGGGAGAUCGUCCCGCUGUGCAGCGUGAAGAAGAAGGUCCUGCUGGCGACGAGCCGGCACAAGGUGUACGCCUACGACACGGAGCAAGGCGGCGCCGAGGAGGUGUUCGACAUGAACCGCUUUGUCGACGUGCCGCCCCACAACAGCGAGUCACGGCUGUUCGUCAACGUUGGACUCCACGAGGAACGCAUCGGCCCGAAGUUGGCGGGUGACCACUGGCUACAGGUGAAGCGGGGACGAGACAUGGUGCUCGGCAAGCGGGAGGCGUCGUCGUCGGUGUACCAUCUAGAACAUCGGGAGGAGGACGAGGAAUUUCACAGGACGAGAGAAGUGAUCAUGGACCUUGCAUUUCCAGCGUAG